CUUUUCUUCUGAUACAGUCUGGAAUGUACAUUGGAUGGAAAUGCCAGUCGCUUCUCCACACAGGGGUUAGCAUAUCCAUCUUAUCCAUCCCCGCCAGUCUGCCCUGGGAAACGUGCGGGCACUGAGCUUAAAGCCAAGAUGCUUGUUGCUAUGGCAUGAGCAGAGCUGUCUCAUUAACCCCUGCCUCCUUAUGAAGCCCUGCACUGGGGCUAAUUGCUUCCCGGGGCUGGGAAGCUGGCUGCAGCCAAUCCCCCUCAAGGGGUGAACUCGUCAUCUCUUAAGAGCUAAGCAGGGUGGGGCUGGAUAGCCUUCGAAUAGGAGACAGCUGGAGGAAGCACAAGUCGAACUGGCGGGGCUGUUGGUGCUACAUUAAGCGGUGCCCUGGUCUCGGAGUCAGCCCCAAUAGAGCACUAGGGUGGUGCUGUGCUGCUGCUCUGUGGCCAUUUUGAUGAGGUGAGACAAGGUCGUGAGGUAAUAACGUGUAUUGGACCAACUUCUGUUGGGGAGAGAGGCCAGCUUUCAAGCUCCACAGAGCUCUUCUCCUUUUUCAUCUCAGUUCUGAUGACAAGUGAGGCUCUGACCACUUCUGAACAGUACCCUGGGAUCAUCAGUGACCACAAGAAGAGAGGGAAGCCUCCUUGCCCUGGCCCCACUGCAACUUCUUUCCUUUACAUGCUGCUUCCCAAUUUCAUUCUACGACUUUCCAUUGAGCGCAAAAUUCCACUUGGCCUCCUGUCCUGAACUUGCUUGCAAUGGUGCUGUUCUCAUGGAUUACAAGGCCAGAAGGGAUUGCUGUGAUCAUCCCAUCUGACUUCCUGUAUUACACAGGCCACAGAACUUCCCUGAAUUACUUCCUGCGUGAGCUAGACUAGAUCUUUCCAAAACACCUUCAAUCAGGAUUUAAAUCUCACCCUGCUAAAUAGCUCUUGCACUUCACUCAUGGUGACAGACAUGUGCCUGUCUACCUACCACCCGUAAUAAAGUUCGCUCAGCAGCAAACAUUAUAGCGAAGAUGCAAACGUGUUUAGUUUCUAGUCUCCCCUGCUCCAUAGCUUUCUGAAAAAUUCUCCUUUUCUGACCGUUUUUCCUUGCUCAGUCUCAGUCAAAAGUUGAGUGAAUUUAAAAGGGUUUGAGCAAAAGUCAUUCAGCCGUUUCUGAGUUAAAUUAAAAACCAAAUGUUUUUCCCACUGGAAAAAUGUCCCUUCAACUUCCCUCAACGGUUAUCUGAACAACAAACAACAACAACCUAUUGAUCUUGGCCGCAGGAACCUUAAUUUUUGCAUUUUCUGAUUUCUAAGAUGUUAAUAGUGCGAACUUAACAUUGUGUUAAGAUAGCCUUUCAUCGUUAUCGUUAUAUGUUGCAUUGCAGAAUCAAGGAAAACGGCCAUGUUGUGCUAGGCAAGGCAAAAAACGAAGAGUAAGAUGACAAUCCCUGCCCCAGACAGCUCACAGUCUAGGUUUCUGACAAGAUGUGACAGGUGUAUGAAACAGACAAAUGGGGAGGAAGUGACAGUAACAUGAGCACCUUUUCCAUAAUAGACAGUAGUGCCAGCUUGCUGCCUGCCUAGCUGUUGUUAUUAAUGCACAUCCAUCCAUCCAUCCAUCCAGAUUGGUAGUAUCAGCUGUAAGGCACUUUGUGACUCACUGAGAUGAAAGGUGCUAGGCAUAUAUCAGACUAGCAUGUCUGGGUUUAGCUGGGGGUGUCUCCCCCUUUUUCCUCGAGGCCUGCAGAAGGCUAAAGAAAGUUCUGGAAGCAUCUGGAAAGCAAUUCCCUUUGUUUUUCUCAAUGAGCUCCACUCCAGUUCAUUAAAUGCCACUUGAUCCAUAAAA